rnacentral:rRNA from 1 species
AGGUUGACCUCGGAUCAGGUAGGGAUACCCGCUGAACUUAAGCAUAUCAAUAAGCGGAGGAAAAGAAACCAACAGGGAUUACCUCAGUAACGGCGAGUGAAGCGGUAAGAGCUCAAAUUUGAAAGCUGGCUCCUUCGGGGUCCGCAUUGUAAUUUGCAGAGGAUGUUUCGGGAGCAGCCCCCAUCUAAGUGUCCUGGAACGGACCGUCAUAGAGGGUGAGAAUCCCGUAUGGGAUGGGGUGUCUGCGCCCAUGUGAAACUCCUUCGACGAGUCGAGUUGUUUGGGAAUGCAGCUCUAAAUGGGUGGUAAAUUUCAUCUAAAGCUAAAUAUUGGCCGGAGACCGAUAGCGCACAAGUAGAGUGAUCGAAAGAUGAAAAGCACUUUGAAAAGAGAGUUAAAAAGCACGUGAAAUUGUUGAAAGGGAAGCGCUUGCGAUCAGACUCGCCUUGGGGGUUCAGCCGGCAUUCGUGCCGGUGUACUUCCCCCAGGGCGGGCCAGCGUCGGUUUGGGUGGCUGGUCAAAGGCCUUUGGAAUGUAACGCCUCUCGGGGCGUCUUAUAGCCAAGGGUGCCAUGCAGCCUACCUGGACCGAGGAACGCGCUUCGGCUCGGACGCUGGCAUAAUGGUCGUAAGCGACC